GCCAGUGUGGCAUAGUGGUUUGAGUAUUAGACUAGGACUCUGGAGACCAGGUUCAAAUCCCAGCUCAGCCA
rnacentral:tRNA from 1 species